rnacentral:rRNA from 2 species
GAAAGUUUCGGCGGUUGGGGAUGGACUCGCGGCUUAUCAGCUUGUUGGUGGGGUAAAGGCCUACCAAGGCGACGAUCCAUAGCUGGUCUGAGAGGAGGAUCAGCCACAUUGGGACUGAGACACGGCCCAAACUCCUACGGAGGCAGCAGUGGGGAAUAUUGGACAAUGGGCGCAAGCCUGAUCCAGCCAUGCCGCGUGAGUGAUGAAGGCCCUAGGGUUGUAAAGCUCUUUCACCGGAGAAGAUAAUGACGGUAUCCGGAGAAGAAGCCCCGGCUAACUUCGUGCCAGCCGCCGCGGUAA